rnacentral:rRNA from 1 species
UCGGGGCCUAAGGCGAGGUCGAAAGACGUAGUCGAUGGAUAACAGGUUGAAAUUCCUGUACUAUCCUGUAACAGAACUGUGGGGACACAGGCAGAGAGCGUGAGCCGGGAAUGGAAAGACCGGUACAAGCGAGGUAGGAGAAGAGUUGGCAAAUCCGCUCUUUAAUCUGAAGACGUGAUGUGGACUGAAAAUAAGUAGGGAAGCACGUGAGCUGACUGUCAAGAAAAGCCGCUAUUGUUUGCAGGAUACCCGUACCGUAAACCGACACAGGUGGAUGAGGAGAGAAUCCUAAGGCCGACGGGAGAAGCAUUGUUAAGGAACUCGGCAAAAUGACUCCGUAACUUCGGGAGAAGGAGUGCCAGUAAGAUGGCCGCAGAGAAUUGGCCCAAGCAACUGUUUAGCAAAAACACAGGUCUAUGCAAAACCGAAAGGUGAGGUAUAUGGGCUGACGCCUGCCCGGUGCUGGAAGGUUAAGGGGAGAGGUUAGCGCAAGCGAAGCCUUGAACUUAAGCCCCAGUAAACGGCGGCCGUAACUAUAACGGUCCUAAGGUAGCGAAAUUCCUUGUCGGGUAAGUUCCGACCCGCACGAAAGGCGUAAUGAUUUGGGCACUGUCUCAACAAUGCACCCGGUGAAAUUGAAAUACCAGUGAAGAUGCUGGUUACCUGCGCCAGGACGGAAAGACCCCAUGGAGCUUUACUCCAGCUUGAUACUGGGAUUCGGUAUUGCAUGUACAGGAUAGGUGGGAGGCUAGGAAAUGGUAACGCCAGUUGCCAUGGAGCCAAUGUUGGGAUACCACCCUUGCAGUACUGGGUUUCUAACCAGCAGCCGUGAUCCGGCUGGGGGACAAUGUCAGGUGGGGAGUUUGACUGGGGCGGUCGCCUCCGAAAGGGUAUCGGAGGCGCUCAAAGGUUCCCUCAGAAUGGUUGGAAACCAUUCGAAGAGUGCAAAGGCAGAAGGGAGCUUGACUGCGACACCGACGGGUGGAGCAGGUACGAAAGUAGGACUUAGUGAUCCGGUGGUAUAAAGUGGGAUUGCCAUCGCUCAACGGAUAAAAGCUACCCUGGGAUAACAGGCUUAUCACUCCCAAGAGUUCACAUCGACGGAGUGGUUUGGCACCUCGAUGUCGGCUCAUCGCAUCCUGGGGCUGAAGUAGGUCCCAAGGGUUGGGCUGUUCGCCCAUUAAAGCGGUACGCGAGCUGGGUUCAGAACGUCGUGAGACAGUUCGGUCCCUAUCCGGCGUGGGCGUAAGAUAUUUGAGAGGAGCUGUCCUUAGUACGAGAGGACCGGGAUGGACUGGCCGCUGGUGUAUCUGUUGUCUUACCAAAGGCAUAGCAGAGUAGCCAAGCCGGGAAGGGAUAAACGCUGAAGGCAUCUAAGCGUGAAGCCCCCCUCAAGAUGAGAUAUCUCAUAACGUCAAGUUAGUAAGACCCCUUGAAGACGACGAGGUAGAUAGGGCAGAGGUGGAAGUGUGGUAACACAUGGAGCUGACUGUUACUAAUAGGUCGAGGGCAUAACCAA